rnacentral:tRNA from 1 species
GCCUCUGUAGCUCAGUUGGUUAGAGCGCUGCACCGGAAUCGCAGGGUCGCAGGUUCAAUUCCUGCCAGGGACC